UGUGCCUUGCCAGUCACCCUGUGGGUACAGACAGGGUGACUGUGCACAGACAGGGCUUUUCCUCUUUGCUUGCCAGAGGUGAUGCAGCUAACAAGAGCAAGGGACUUGGUGUGUGAAUAAGCAGGAGGCUCUCUGGGUAACUGAAGGAGUUUUCCUCAAGCCAGCGAAGCGAGACUGCGCGCUUUACCCUGUGCUAGCAUUGGACUGUAGCCGCUGAACGGGCCAGGCAGCUGUCACAGGAUCCUUCAACAGCCAGUGGACUCCUCUGGAGACUGCUCGGGAGAAGCUGUUAAGGCAUAAGAAUCACCUCCCCCGCUUAGGGGUCUCAUGAAAUGCUGUAAGAGCCUGAACAGCAUUCAGUCUCAGAAGUAAUGAAAAGGAUAUGUCAUCACAGGUAAUUGCUGCUUCUAAAAGCAUUACAAACCCAGGUAAAAUUUCUUUUGGGUAUUGGAGAGCUGAUGCUUAAUAUGACAGAAGGGCACUUUAAUUGGGCAUUUUCUUCAGUUUGCCAAGCUAUCUGUGGAAGAGCUAUGAUGUGAGCUAUUAAAAAAAAUAAAGGGGCUUUAAAACCAGCACUGAAAGCA